CAAUAGCGUAUAUUAAAGUUGUUGCAGUUAAAAAGCUCGUAGUUGGACCUUGGACCUGGACAGGCGGUCCGCCUCACGGCGUGUACUGUCUUGCUGGGUCUUUCCUCUUGGUGAUCUGUUGUUUCGGCAGCAGGGAACCAGGACUUUUACUUUGAAAAAAUUAGAGUGUUCAAAGCAGGCUCGACGCCGGAAUAUAUUAGCAUGGAAUAAUAAAAUAGGACGUGCGGUUCUAUUUUGUUGGUUUUUGGAAUCGCCGUAAUGAUUAAUAGGGACAGUUGGGGGCAUUAGUACUCACAUGCUAGAGGUGAAAUUCUUGGAUUUUGUGAAGACUAACUUCUGCGAAAGCAUUUACCAAGGAUGUUUUCAUUAA
rnacentral:rRNA from 1 species